rnacentral:rRNA from 1 species
UGGGGGAUAUUGCACAAUGGGCGAAAGCCUGAUGCAGCAACGCCGCGUGGGGGUUGAAGGCCUUCGGGUUGUAAACUUCUUUUGCUCUGAACAAGGCGCACCAUGGGGUGUGUUGAGUGUAGGGGUUGAUUAGCGCCGGCUAACUACGUGCCAGCAGCCGCGGUAAUACGUAGGGCGCGAGCGUUGUCCGGAAUUAUUGGGCGUAAAGGGCUUGUAGGUGGCUGGUUGCGUCUGUCGUGAAAGCUCAUGGCUUAACUGUGGGUUUGCGGUGGGUACGGGCUGGCUUGAGUGCAGUAGGGGAGGCUGGAAUUCCUGGUGUAGCGGUGGAAUGCGCAGAUAUCAGGAGGAAUACCGGUGGCGAAGGCGGGUCUCUGGGCUGUUACUGACACUGAGGAGCGAAAGCAUGGGGAGCGAACAGG